AAAUGCGAUAAGUAAUGUGCAUUGCAGAAUUCAGUGAAUCAUCGAAUCUUUGAACGCACCUUGCGCUCCUUGGUAUUCCUUGGAGCAUGCCUGUUUGAGUAUCAUGAAAUCUUCAAAGUAAAUCUUUUGUUAACUCAAUUGGUUUCUACUUUGGUAUUGGAGGUCUUUGCAGCUUCACACCUGCUCCUCUUUGUUCAUUAGCUGGAUCUCAGUGUUAUGCUUGGUUCCACUCGGCGUGAUAAGUUAUCUAACGCUGAGGACACUGUAAAAGGUGGCCAAGGUAAAUGCAGAUGAACCGCUUCUAAUAGUCCAUUGACUUGGACAAUACUUUUAUGAUCUGAUCUCAAAUCAGGUAGGACUACCCGCUGAACUUAAGC
rnacentral:misc_RNA from 1 species